UCCAGAUCUUUCUCUUUUAAUUUUUUUUCCUCAAUAUUUCUAUUUAUUUUCAAGUUAGACUGUUAAUAUUUCCCCCCACCCCACCCCCCACAAAGAUCAAGUAUCUUAUCUGAGUGCUUCAUAACCAGUUCUUAUCCCCUUUCUUUCUUUGGCUUUUUAUGUACUAGAUAGUGGUUAUAAGACCUCUGAUCUGCAAUACCCACUUCAAAAAAAAAAAAACACAAA